AAAGUUAAUUGCUCGCAGAGAGAGAGAGAGAGAGAGAGAUGGAGCCUUCCGUGCUUCCAGCUCGUUUUCGAUGUUGCGACUUUCGAAUCGUCGAUCGGCUCUGUUAAACUUGAUCUAGAGUAUUUGAGUACCUAGAAAAUAAAUUUUAUGAUUUUACGAUAUCAUUUGCAUAGUAAACGAAGGGGCUCAAAAUCAAUGGCUGAAAAUAAAAAUCUUACAAAAUAUAAUAAUAUGACAUUAAAAUUUUAAAUCAAAGAUAUUGAUCUUGUUUUAUAUAAUAUAAAGAAUUUUCUAUCAAAAUUUCAUAUGAUCAGAUUAUUUCUACACCGUUAAACUUGCAAACGGCUCACUACGGCCAUUGAAAUUUGUUGAUUUUGAGCCCAUUCAAUCACUAGGCAAAUGAUAUCGAAAAAUAAUAAAAUUUAUUUUUUACAUACUCCGCAUACUCUAAAUCAAGUUUAAUCGAUCGACGAUUCGAAAGUCGCAAUAUCGAAAACGAGCUGGAAGCACGGAAGGCUCCGUGCUUCCGAUAGCAUAGUAGCCUCACUCUAUAUAUAUAUAUAUAUAGAGAGAGAGAGAGAGAGUAGAGCUCCUGUGCUUUUAAAAGCACAGCUCUGGUGCUUGUGAUUUUUUCACCAUUGGAUUGCUCUCGCCUCGAGAUCUG
rnacentral:lncRNA from 1 species